rnacentral:hammerhead_ribozyme from 1 species
AUUCAGCUGACAAGUACCAAAUAGGACGAAACGCGCAUCCUGAAU